rnacentral:rRNA from 1 species
CCUACGGGUGGCAGCAGUGGGGAAUAUUGCUCAAUGGGGGACACCCUGAUGCAGCGACGCCGCGUGAGUGAUGAAGUAUUUCGGUAUGUAAAGCUCUUUCUGCAGGGAAGUAAAUGACGGUACCUGAAUAAGAAGCUCUGGCUAACUCCGUGCCAGCAGCCGCGGCAAUACGUAGGGGGCAAGCGUUAUCCGGAUUUACUGGGUGUAAAGGGAGCGUAGACGGCAGAACAAGUAUGGAGGUAAAGGCCGGGGCUUAACCGCGGAACUGCAUUGGAUACGGUGCAGCUAGAGUGAAGGAGAGGUAAGUGGAAUUCCUGGUGUAGCGGUGAAAUGCUUAGAUAUUAGGAGGAACACCAGUGGCGAAGGCGGCUUACUGGACUGUAACUGACGUUGAGGCUCGAAAGCGUGGGUAGCAAACAGGAUUAGAUACCCGAGUAGUC